rnacentral:lncRNA from 1 species
UUUUCUACACCAAGUUGUUGUGUGUUGCCAGAAGACUUGAGUCUAGGCUGGAAACACAAGGUAAACUGGUUGCUCUCAGCCAGGUUGCCACAGGUGCGCGGCCAUUUUACACCGGCCGGAUGCCCUCUCCGCUGAACAUUCUCAUUGGUGUUUUCGGGUAGCAAGACUGUCUUCGAUCGUUUGUACCAUGGUGUCCGGUCUUAUGACGAUUUCUUCAUCUUGAAGAAGGGCGCCGUGGGAGUGAUUGUCUCCUCUAGUUACCAUAGGUGCAUGGUCGUGCUCCGGAUGCUUGCGAAUGGCACGGCUGCUGGUUCGUGAGACGAGUACAUACAGAUGUCUUAGAGCACACGCGUAGGUGCAAUGGUCAGAUUU